UGCCCCUUCACUCAUCCCUUCACUGCAACUCUUGCGGCGGCUGAUUCCUUCCCGAUCGGCUGCGGCACAGGUUUCAAUUUGGCAUGAUCUCAAUGUAGUUGAAGACAACUGUAUUUGUUCACGUCUUUUCGGUAAAAUGCAGAAUGAGCGAAG